rnacentral:ncRNA from 1 species
AAAUGCUUCGAGCCAGCGCUUCUAAGGGCUAUUUGCCUAUGAACCGCUGGCCAGGGUCAUGCUGGAAACGGAAUGGCCUUCCGUGUUUGAAAAGAAG